ensembl:lncRNA
UGGAUGCACCAAUCUUUAGAUGUCUUGACAUUUAUGAGUCGUCCAAUCACGGACGUAGGGUCUCCUUUUAUUUAAGUGAUUUCCAUCCUCAGUGUUUUACAGUUUUCAACAUACAGAAUCCUACGCAUUAAACCCAAGUAUUUCUUUUUGAGGUGUAUUGUGGUAAAGGGAGCUGUUUUUUAUUUUUUAAUUUAGAAUUUUAAUUGUCCGUUGCUAAUAUGCAGAGAUACAAUUAGCUUUACAUAUUGGCUUUAUACUGAGAUCUUUCUAAACUCUCUUACUAGUUCUAGUUUUCUAUUGUUUUCUGGGGGGGUUCUAUAUAAACAUUCGUGUCGUGAUUGGAGAUGGUUUUGUUUUUUCCUCUCCAAACUGUAUGCCAUGUGUUUCUUUUUCUUGUCUUAUCACACUGGCUAGGACUUCCAGCAAAACACUAGAUAUGAACAAUGAGAGGAGAGCCAGGCCUUCUUCUCAGUCUUGGAGGAAACAGUCAGUCUUUCCUCAUUUAGAAUGCGAGCUUUUCUUUUCUUUUCUUUCUUUCUUUCUUUCUUUUUUUUUUUUUUUAAUAGGUUAAGGAACUUCUCUUGUAUUCUUAUUUUUUUAGAGUUGUUAUUUUUUUUUUCUCUCUUUUUAGGGCUGCACCCGAGGCAUAUGGAGGUUCUAAGGCUGAGGUCGAAUCGGAGCUACAGUCAAUGGCCUACGCCACAGCAAUGUGAGAUCUGAGCCACAUCUAUGACCUACACCACAGCUCACGGCAAUGUCAGAUGGUUAACCCACUGAACAAGGCCAGGGAUUGAACCUGCAACUUCAGGGUUCCUAGUCGGAUUUGUUAACCACUGAGCCACAACAGAAACUCUGAGUUUUGCUUGAUCUGUUUUUGAUUCCUAUAUUUCAAACCUCUGUUGUUUGGAGCCUGCACUUGGAAAAUUGAUCCCUUUAUCAUUAUGCAGUAUCUCUUUCAUCCUUUGCAGUGUUUCUUGUUCUGAAGUCUGCUGUGUCUGAGAUGAAUACAGCCACACCAGCUUUAUUUUGACAAAUGUUUGCGUGACAUGGUUUCCCCAUCAUUCUGCUCUAAACCUACCCAUGUCUUUAUAUGAAGUGGGUUUUUCAUAGUCUGCAUCUAGUUGGGUCUUGCUUUGUUUAUUCAAUUUGACAAUUUCUUUUAAUCAAUGUGUUGAGAGUGUUUAAAUUUAAUGGGAUUAUCUGUAUGUUUGGAUUAAAUUUUACAAUCUCAUUAGCUCUUUUUUAUUUGUUCCAUCUGUUAUUUGUCUUUUCCCCAUUUUCUGCCUUCUUUUGGAUUAACUAUUCUUUAGCAUUCCACUUUAUUUUCACUCUUGCCUUAUUGUUUAAAUCUCUUUUUUAGAAAAGGAAUAUAUACAUCUUGAAUCAAUAUUAUGAUAUACAUCUUGAAUCAAUCACCAUAUACCAAAUAAUAUCACAUUGCUCUUUGUGUCAUGUGAGGAAUUUACAAUGGUAUAUUCUCUCUCUCUUUUAUUUUUAUUUUAUUUUGUGUCUGUUAGGGCCACACCAGCAGCAUAUGGUGGUUCCCAGGCUAGGGGUCAAAUCGGAGGUGCAGAUGCUGGCCUACACCACAGCCACAGUCACAGAAAUGCCAGAUCCGAGCCACGUCUGUGACCUACGUCACAUCUCACUGCAACCCUGGAUCCUUUAACCCACUGAGUGAGGCCAGGGAUUGAACCUGCAUCCUCAUGGAUAUUAGCCAGGUUCAUUACUGCUGAGCCACAAUGGGAACACAGCAACUGUAUAUUCUCAAUUCCUCCUUUAUUUGGGCUAUCAUUGCUAUAAGUUAUACUUUAAAUUACGCUAGAGACAUAUGCUACAUUUCCACUAUUUUUUACUUUAGAGGUCAGCUAUCUUUUGGAGCAAUUAAAAAACGAGAAAGAGAUGAACUUUAUUUUUACCUUUAUUUGCUCCGUUUCCAGUGCUCUUUCUUUCUUUCUUUCUUUGUGUGCCUCCGAGUUUCUACCUUCAUCACGUCCAAAAAACUUCCUUUAACAAGGAAGGUCUUCCAGAAAUGAAUUAUCCCAUUUUUGCUUUUCUGCUCAGGACUUUACCUUUUUUGAAAUAUAUUUGCAGUGGGUAUAGGAUUCUAGGUCAAGGAGUUCCCUUGUGGCACAGUGGUUAAGGAUCUGGCAUUGUCACUGCAGCACCCUAGGUCACUAUCCUGACAUGAUCCCUGGGGUUGAACCCUGAUCGGGAAACCUCCACAUGCCACAGGCAUGGCCAAAAAAAAAAAAAAAAAAAAAAA